CACGUAGGGGGCAAGCGUUGUCCGGAUUCAUUGGGCGUAAAGAGCUCGUAGGCGGUUCGAUAAGUCGGGUGUGAAACCUCCAGGCUCAACCUGGAGACGCCACCCGAUACUGUCGUGACUAGAGUCCAGUAGGGGAGCGUGGAAUUCCUGGUGUAGCGGUGAAAUGCGCAGAUAUCAGGAGGAACACCAGCGGCGAAGGCGGCGCUCUGGGCCGGAACUGACGCUGAGGAGCGAAAGCGUGGGUAGCAAACAGG
rnacentral:rRNA from 1 species